GUGCAGCAGGCGCGAAACCUCCGCAAUACACGAAAGUGUGACGGGGCCAUCCCGAGUGCCGUCCGCUGAGGACGGCUUUUCCCCAGUGUACAUAGCUGGGGAAUAAGGAGAGGGCAAGCCUGGUGUCAGCCGCCGCGGUAAUACCAGCUCUCCGAGUGGUGGGGACGCUUAUUGGGCCUAAAGCAUCCGUAGCCGGCUGGGCAAGUCCUCCGUUAAAUCCAACGAUUCAAUCGUUGGGCUGCGGGGGAUACUGUCCAGCUUGGGGGCGGGAGAGGCCGACGGUAUUCCCGGGGUAGGGGUGAAAUCCUAUAAUCCCGGGAGGACCACCAGUGGCGAAGGCUGUCGGCUAGAACGCGCCCGACGGUGAGGGGAUGAAAGCUGGGGGAGCGAACCGGAUUAGAUACCCGGGUAGU
rnacentral:rRNA from 1 species